rnacentral:lncRNA from 10 species
CAGAAGGAGAGCUCUGAGUCGACAGAAGGGGGUUAAGCCUCCGUGGUGAGAUGAAUCCCAUCGCAGGAACUUGCAGAUCCUGCAGGAGAGAUCGUGGAGUCGUGCCCGGGAAACCUGCGGAGGAGAAAAGCAUCAGAGGACUUAUUUGUAAUUUUACUUCUUGCUUAAAAAGACUUUAAAGACUUUUAAUGCUUUGGGUAAUUUUCUC